rnacentral:rRNA from 1 species
CAGUCGCCGCGGUAAAACGGAGGGUGCAAGCGUUAAUCGGAAUUACUGGGCGUAAAGCGCACGCAGGCGGUCUGACAAGUCAGAUGUGAAAUCCCCGGGCUUAACCUGGGAACUGCAUUUGAAACUGUCAGGCUGGAGUCUUGUAGAGGGGGGUGGAAUUCCAGGUGUAGCGGUGAAAUGCGUAGAGAUCUGGAGGAAUACCGGUGGCGAAGGCGGCCCCCUGGACAAAGACUGACGCUCAGGUGCGAAAGCGUGGGGAGCAAACAGGAUUAGAUACCCCCAGUAGUCCCUGUCUCUUAUA